rnacentral:misc_RNA from 1 species
AGGAAAUAUCAACAAUUUGUGGAAUUGUUAGCAUACCUCCGUUCUAAAUGGACGAAGGAAUUUCCAUACUUCAUCCUACUGGCAUGAUUGAAAUACUCGGGGAUGGAAUGACGUCGGUUAAUCCAUUUUGACUAAUUAUCAUCCCGUGAAUUAUAAAUUAUCAGAUACCUGUCCGGUAUUUGUGAAUUGGCCGCAAGACCGAAGCGAUUGGUUUGAAGGGUACGUGUGAGGAUAGUCUAUUUUUGUUAUCCUUAUAAUUUAUUCUUUCGAGGCACCCCCUGCAAAUACCCGCCUCGGAGAUGAGAUUCCGGUUCUCGCAUAUCUCCGGAGGGGCAUCUCCUCCUUAUUACCCUUUCGGAUCCCCUCAUCUCAAUCGAAAACACUAUAAUAUGCUCCGACGAACUCGCUACUCUCCGAGGAACGACGAGAUCUCAGACGGGAACGUGAAUAUUUUUUCGACAGGAUGACACCGCGGAGCAAACUCCCGUGGACCGUUGAACACGAUUCGGGAGGGGAUGAUCUGGCAUCGGGAUCUUUCGCGAGGGGAUGCGAGCGUGCGCAGGCAGGACAAUCG